rnacentral:rRNA from 1 species
CCCUUAGAUGUUCUGGGCCGCACGCGCGCUACACUGGUGCGUUCAACAAGUUUACAACCUUGAUUGACAAGUCUGGGUAAUCUUUUGAAUGCGCACCGUGCUAGGGAUAGAUUAUUGCAAUUAUUAAUCUUGAACGAGGAAUUCCUAGUAAACGCAAGUCAUCAGCUUGCAUUGAUUACGUCCCUGCCCUUUGUACACACCGCCCGUCGCACCUACCGAUUGAAUGGUCCGGUGAAGCCUCCGGAUUGGCGCGCACCUCGGUGCCGCCGAGAAGUUGGCUAAACCUUACCAUUUAGAGGAAGGUGAAGUCGUAACA